GACGAACGCUGGCGGCGUGCUUAACACAUGCAAGUCGAACGGAAAGGCCCUGCUUUUGUGGGGUGCUCGAGUGGCGAACGGGUGAGUAACACGUGAGUAACCUGCCCUUGACUUUGGGAUAACUUCAGGAAACUGGGGCUAAUACCGGAUAGGAGCUCCUGCUGCAUGGUGGGGGUUGGAAAGUUUCGGCGGUUGGGGAUGGACUCGCGGCUUAUCAGCUUGUUGGUGGGGUAGUGGCUUACCAAGGCUUUGACGGGUAGCCGGCCUGAGAGGGUGACCGGCAACAUUGGGCCUGAGAAACGCCCCAGACUCCAAGGGGGGGCGGAGGGGGGGAAUUUGGAAAAGGGGGGGGAAGCCGGUGGCACCACCGCCGGGGGGGGGAGACGGGCUUUGGGUUUGAAAACCUCUUCCGCCUGUGAAGAGGCUGGAGUGAGGUAAAGGGAUAAAGAAGACCCGGCUAACUACGUG
rnacentral:rRNA from 1 species